rnacentral:rRNA from 1 species
UACGUAGGCAGCAAGCGUUGUUCGGAGUUACUGGGCGUAAAGGGUGCGUAGGCGGCUUUUUAAGUUUGGUGUGAAAUCUCCCGGCUCAACUGGGAGGGUGCGCCGAAUACUGAGAGGCUAGAGUGCGGGAGAGGAAAGUGGAAUUCCUGGUGUAGCGGUGAAAUGCGUAGAUAUCAGGAGGAACACCGGUGGUGUAAACGGCUUCUGGACCGUAACUGACGCUGAGGCACGAAAGCGUGGGGAGCAAACGGG